UCUGCAGAAAGUGAAAAUGUCGGUGCAUCUCUAAUUACUGGCGACAUCAGAAAUGGAUAUCAUACAAUAGAUGCUUUUUUGAACAUUUUAGCUAUUUAAAAAUCUUAAAAGCAUUUUUACACGGCACCCCAUUUGGAAAACACUGCACCAGAGGCUAAUAUUGAGAUGUUCUCAAGGCAAGCUGUUCCACCGCAGCCCAGCAGGUUUACUGGCAGCCCGUGGGUGAUUCAAGUCGUGUGCUGCAAUCAGUAAACACCAUCAGGUGCUGUAUAACUGACAGCGGUCUUUGCGGUUUUUUCAUUGACCUGUGCAGAACUACAAAAAGCUCCGCAGCAGCAGCAGAAAUAUCAGAACGGCAGUAAAGAUUGACUCCAGAUCAUCAUCAUCACCGAAAUGAACACAUGGCAGAACAUCUGCGGAACAUCGCAAACUGCAGGAAUCAGAAACUGAGCAGCAAACAGGAGGAGAGUCAAUCUACUGAAGCAGGAGAGAAACAGAGCAAGAGUCGAGUCAGACGGAGCAGCGCUGAUGGAGACAGACAAAACUUUUCUCACGAUUCAGACAGACCUGCAGAGAUUCAGUCGAAUGUUUCAAAGAGAGACAUUCACAGAUGAGAUGAUAAAAAGGAAGCUCUUGACAAAUCUGAAGAAAUGGAGCAUGAUGUGCAUCAGACUGACUGAGAGCUGGGACUUUUAUUCUGAAAGGACAUCAACACACACACACGCAACCAAAAUAUGGCAUCUUUAGUUUUGUGUUUGUAGCUCUGGUUGUGUUUUAUCUUCUCGUUCAUUGUCUCAAGCUGUUUCUUAGUUUGUCUGUUUAAGGUUGUGACUUUGUUUCAGUGUUUGCUGUGCAUUGAUACAUUAACAUCAUCAUUCAAAGAAAAUUGCCAUUUAUUUUGUUAGUGGUAAAAUGUAACACUAAAGAUGCUCUAAUCAAGAUUUUUACUAUCAAAACCCAUCAGUAAAUCUUGUCAUGGUGAUCAUCUGAGUCUGAUCUGCACUGCAGUAAAGAAAUAAAGAGCACUAACAAACUACUCAACAGAGAAUCAUCAGAGUAAUAAUAAACAGAUGAAGGGCUGCAGCAUGGCUUUACCGUGUUUCAGCAGGUAAAAACUCAUGUUGUGAGGGAGGGGAUGAAGUGUACGAGUCAUUACAUGAUCAUAAACCACUGAUCAUGUUCAUAAACAUGAUGAUUAUAACAAUAACAUCAUUACAAUAUCUUUAUAGUAAAAUUCUAAUACUGAACAUGUUAUUGCAUUAUGAGUCAUAUUUUUCCCUUAUGAAAAUUAACCAUUGUUACUAUCACGUUACCAUCUAACUAGUUUGACUAACUAGCAGUUAACCAAGAUGUAAUCAGUCUUAGUUUUCAGAUUCAAAUUAGACCAAUAUACCAUUUAAAGUAACUGAAUUUAAAAAGUUAUGAGCAGUCUUGAAGAAUCAGUGGAGCACAUAUCAAACUGCCAAAGUCACGUGAUUUCAGUAAAUGAUUCUUCGUUACGUCAUCACCGUUUAGAAACGUUUUGAGAUUUCAGAGGUUUGCGAGGGGCCCGUGAUCUCUGUGAACCCGUGAAUCGUGAGAUUUCAUUGAGAUCGAUCCACUGAACCAGUGUCUAUGGUUUUUACCUGAUCUCAGAUCAGUUUGAUCAAUUGGUAGACAUUUCUUAAACGAGACAUUUGAAUAAUUAAAACGCCUAUUAUACAGACACUUCGUAUUUAAUGGAAUUUUAU